UGGGGAAUAUUGGACAAUGGGCGAAAGCCUGAUCCAGCCAUGCCGCGUGUGUGAAGAAGGUCUUCGGAUUGUAAAGCACUUUAAGUGGGGAGGAAGGGCAGUAAGCGAAUACCUUGCUGUUUUGACGUUACCGACAGAAUAAGCACCGGCUAACUCUGUGCCAGCAGCCGCGGUAAUACAGAGGGUGCAAGCGUUAAUCGGAAUUACUGGGCGUAAAGCGCGCGUAGGUGGUUCGUUAAGUUGAAUGUGAAAGCCCCGGGCUCAACCUGGGAACUGCAUCCAAAACUGGCGAGCUAGAGUAGGGCAGAGGGUGGUGGAAUUUCCUGUGUAGCGGUGAAAUGCGUAGAUAUAGGAAGGAAAACCAGUGGCGAAGGCGACCACCUUGGCUCGUACUGACACUGAGGUGCGAAAGCGUGGGGAGCAAACAGG
rnacentral:rRNA from 1 species